UCAUAAACACGCCAUAUUUCC
rnacentral:miRNA from 1 species